rnacentral:rRNA from 1 species
GAUGAACGAUGGAGGCGUGCUUAACACAUGCAAGUCGAACGGUGAAGGCGGAGCUUGCUCUGCUGGAUCAGUGGCGAACGGGUGAGUAACACGUGAGCAAUCUGCCCCUGACUCUGGGAUAAGCGCUGGAAACGGCGUCUAAUACUGGAUACGAGCUGCGAAGGCAUCUUCAGCAGCUGGAAAGAACUUCGGUCAGGGAUGAGCUCGCGGCCUAUCAGCUUGUUGGUGAGGUAACGGCUCACCAAGGCGUCGACGGGUAGCCGGCCUGAGAGGGUGACCGGCCACACUGGGACUGAGACACGGCCCAGACUCCUACGGGAGGCAGCAGUGGGGAAUAUUGCACAAUGGGCGAAAGCCUGAUGCAGCAACGCCGCGUGAGGGACGACGGCCUUCGGGUUGUAAACCUCUUUUAGCAGGGAAGAAGCGAAAGUGACGGUACCUGCAGAAAAAGCGCCGGCUAAGUACGUG